rnacentral:rRNA from 1 species
UACGUAGGGUGCAAGCGUUAAUCGGAAUUACUGGGCGUAAAGCGUGCGCAGGCGGUUUUGUAAGUCUGAUGUGAAAUCCCCGGGCUCAACCUGGGAAUUGCAUUGGAGACUGCAAGGCUAGAAUCUGGCAGAGGGGGGUAGAAUUCCACGUGUAGCAGUGAAAUGCGUAGAGAUGUGGAGGAACACCGAUGGCGAAGGCAGCCCCCUGGGUCAAGAUUGACGCUCAUGCACGGAAGCGUGGGGAGCAAACAGG